AACGAACGCUGGCGGCAGGCCUAACACAUGCAAGUCGAACGAAGUCUUCGGACUUAUUGGCGCACGGGUGUGUAACACGUGGGAAUAUACCUUACGCUGGGGGAUAACAUCGGGAAACUGAUGCUAAUACCGCAUACGCCCUUCGGGGGAAAGAUUUAUCGACGAAGGAUGAGCCCGCGUCCGAUUCGCUAGUUGGUGAGGUAAUGGCUCACCAAGGCUCCGAUCGGUAGCUGGUCUGAGAGGAUGACCAGCCACACUGGGACUAAGACACGGCCCAGACUCCUACGGGAGGCAGCAGUGGGGAAUAGUGGACAAUGGGCGCAAGGCUGAUCCAGCCAUGCCGCGUGAGUGAUGAAGGCCUUAGGGUUGUAAAGCUCUUUCAACCACGACGAUGAUGACGGUAGUGGGAGAAGAAGCCCCGGCUAACUUCGUG
rnacentral:rRNA from 1 species